rnacentral:tRNA from 1 species
GGGCGUUUGGUCUAGGGGUAUGAUUUUCGCUUUGCAUGUGAAAGGCCGGGGGUUCAAAUCCCUCAACGUCCA